rnacentral:tRNA from 1 species
AGCCCCGUGGUGUUCGGCACAUCAGAUUGCAAAUCUGAAGGAGCGGGCUAAUUGCUUGCCGGGGCUU